UAUAUAUAUAUAUAUAUGAGUAUAUAUAUUGCCAUAUAUAUAUUUUGUGUUAAUAUAUAUAUAUAUAUAUAUAUACAUACAUAAACAAAUAAAACGAAUCUAUCGACGCAAUCAGUCAUCGCUUCCAAGCGAGGAACGUAUACAGACAAGGACAAAGAAAGGGAUCAACAAACGAAUAAGUACGCAUUACGGUUAACAAAUCGUAUAAGCCGAUUUCAUAAGUUGUAAACAAUUAUUAAAAUUAUUUGUUCUAACACGAUCGAGAGACAUUCUUAAGCUGAUAUCUCCAAAGAUGUGUAAGCGCAUACAUAGGGAAAAUUUGGAACGUUUCAACGAAACAAUUCAACGAACUCCGAAAAGUGGAACGCGACAGUCUAAUGAAAAAUAUUCUGGCUGACUGUUAUCAAUGAUGAAAGCACUUGUGUCAGACAACUUUGGUAAUAUGAACGUCGAAAUACGAAAUGAAAUUAAUCCGGUAGUAAACGAAUGAUUGUACGAAUCGUUGCGUCGACAUUUUAAUUCGAUUAAUUUUUUCCGAGAAAAGGAAGGAAGAGUGUAGUAAUAGUCAGGGAAAUUAGAAUAUCAGAGAAAAAAAAAGAAAGAGAGAGAGAGAGAGAGAGAGAGAGAGAGAGAGUAAAAUUAAAUCUCGUUAUUGUCUCAACAAAAUCCGAAAACAAACAGAUGUCUCAAAAUAUAUCGAGAAUAGAAGAUAAUAUAUAAAUAUUAAUAUAUUGUGAUAUAUGUGAUAUAUAAUAUAUACCCACGUAUAAUAAGAACAUAAUAGAAAUUUAUAGGAUUCGAUUUUGAAAUUCAAAAAUAUAUCGAGAGUUUAUAAUUUAUG